GGCAGCGGCGCGGCCCGGGGCGAAGCAGCCGUGGGGCCAAAUUGGGUGCCGGGCGCGAGCCGAGGCCGCCGCGGACCCCGCAAUCCCGCAGCUGGCGACUGGAGCCCACCUCUGCGGAGACAAAGGCAGGAGUGCCAUUCCUUUCGCUCUUCUCAUGGAAGCUGCUCCAGGGAACCCCAGCUAAAGAUGCGUGCGGAUUCAGCAAACAGUGGGAAAGCAGAGGACACAAGUUUGGAUGUGAAAGAGUAACACCUUCUGCAGUGAGGAAUAAUUAAACAAUAUUUUAAUUACACAAAAUCGAGCAUGUUGUUGGACCUUCCCAAACAGUAACACUUUAUGCUGGUCUAUACAUGUCUAUACAUUCAGAACAUUGUUUAGUUCUGAAACAUUCUGAGAAAUAACCUCAACUGUCAAUUUUCCUCUACCCAAAUAAAGGCCGAGUUUAUGACCCUCCAUUUCAGCUGGUGGAAGGAGGGCUAGGAAAAGACUGCACUUUUGAAAAGGCAGCCAUAUUUGUACUUUUUCCCCCUGUGCAGAGAUAAGCCAUGUGCUGGGCUUUGUGGAACCUCACAAAAUGGCAGCCCCUGAACUGACUUUUCUCUAGGAACCGUUGAGACCCACAUCUUCUUUUGUGUGUUUCUGGUCUAUGCAGAGAACCCAAAUCACUUAGGACCCUUGGUUUUUUCAUCCAGUGUUAACACUGGAGGGUCCUAUUUUUCUGUAAAUGAUUUACAGACCUCUCUAAGCAGACUCUCUAAGCAGUCCAGGGCACCAAAGUGUCGACUGUUUCCAAAGGGUUCUCUGAAGGCUUAUGCAAAUUUCUGCAGCAAAAAUGUUGGUUCGAUAUGCUGCAACCCUCGGAUGUUUACAUAUCUGAGCCAAUUAGAAGGGCAUCUCCUGCACUCGUCACUGGGAGUUGUCUGCAUGAAACACAGAUGGGGGUUUCUAGCCACUGCAAGAAAGAAGGUGGUGAGUGUGUGUGAUUGUAAUUCCACAGACUUUAUUUGAAGACAAAUCUGUGUUUUCCCCAACUACAAAAGGAAGCAUGUAUACUUACAUUAAUUACCAACACUUUCUACAUGAGUAAUCUAUAUAUACAUACAACAAAUAUAUACCCAAAAUACCAAAUCUGUAAAUGUACAAAUACUCUCAAGUGUACUAAUUUUUGCAAGUCUUUUUGUGUACAUGAGCUACGAAUUUACCAUUGGUUAGGGGUCCAACAAGGCCAGAAGGUACAACACUUUCAGAGUAGCACAAAAUGGAGGAAAAAACAUUUUUACCGCCCUUCCUUAACUGAUUUCCACAUCAAUCCAUGCACCGGGUCCCCCACCAUAUCGAGUCUUGCCCAAAUCAAUGGCUCUAAAAAUGAUUUUCAGGGAGAAUUCUUGUGUAGAAGACAGUGAAUUUUGCUAAUAGAGGAAUCCCUUAAAUGGAGGGCAGCUGGAGUCUAGCCAGCACCAGUCUCCAGCCAGCUUAUUCCCACCCUCUCCACAGCCAGUUUCCUAGCCAUGCUUUCAAGCACUUGGCACACUUGCUCUAAACCAGUCAACAGCAGAGUCUCAGGCAACACACAGAGCAAAACGUUUCCAAAUCCAGCAGGCACGUUUGCAGCUGUCUCUUCUUGUGCAAAUGUUUCUUAAGCCCCAGGCCACCCUUGACUUAAAACUCUUUCCUGGCUCAGGUCAGCGAAUGCCACAGCCAUGGCCUCUUCCCUGGAUAGAAAGCCAGGCUGUGCUUCGCCUCCAGCCUAACCUGUGCCAACGUUUCCCUGGCCCUUGAAGCAGCAGGCAAACAGCCCACCAUCACCUGAACAAGUGAUACAGACCCCAAAGUAUAGGAUUCCAUUUUCGUACCUGUGCAAUAAAAGCCACUCUGGAAGUUAAAAUGUACCUCUUUAAAAACCUUUUCCUUCUCCAGGAGAAAAAGAAGAGAAUUCUUCAAAGUCUACCCGAUAAAGGGGCUUUCCCUUUUGUGGGGAGAAAUGUUAGUUUACUUGAAUUUCUCCUCUUCCCUCCUGCCCCUCUUCCCCCUCCUCUUCCCUCAUAAAAUGGCAGCUGCAGGAGUAGCCUCAAAUGGAAAAUAGAUAUCUUGUUAAUAACAGAUCCCAAACCCCAGCAUCAGCACUGGCUCAAUGGAAUAAGCUGUGGUAUAAUCUGGACUUUGGGUUGCUACCCACUGGGCCUACAACUCCACUCCUUUGCGAAGUUCAAAGCUCUCCCAGUAUCUUAUCAAGGUUGUUUAGAGCAAGAUGAAGCUAGAAUAGCCUGGCUGACCCUCUCUGAAAUGAAAGAGAGCUCCCCCCACCCCACAUUUAUUUACUUUUAUAGCAAGGGUGCAGGUAACCCCCCUCCCACCUUUUAAAAAUCAAAUAGAUGCUUUAGCAGGAUGCUGCUUUCCCAUGAGCCCUGGAGAUUGUUCCUGACUCAGGAAAAGGGUUAUUGGCGGCGCUCAAAGACACUAGCUCUAGAAAAAGGAUUCAUUUCUUUUAUUAAGGAGCUAGCUAUAUUCCGCAGCGGUUGUUUACACUCGGAUUUUUCUGCAUUUGCUCUCAAGGCUUGUUUCAAAUAGGUGAGGCCAACCUGGAGAACAGCAGAGGACGUACCAACCGACAUCUGAGAUGCACACAACAAGUUGGCUCACAAUGGGCGUGCAAACAGAGAGAAUACAAAUAAAUAUGGCACCUCCUCAGAAAAAAAAAAAACAACCCACAAAAACCGGAAUCACAGCGGCGGCCACAGCACAAAGACCUAGCAGUUGCAGGCGAUACCAAGCACAGUUCAAAACGAAAGCAAAUUCAGAAAGGAGAGGCGUUCCACAAGGUGACUUGCCAGGCUAAAAAGUAUCUAAGUGAAAAUGUUAUAAUUGACUUUUCAAGUAUUCAUUCACUUUAGAUGAUUCAACUGCCAUAAUUUGUAUAAACUAUAGAAAAAUUAUUAAAUGUCAACUUUGACAUUGUCCUGAAA